CAAAGGAUAAAAUUGGGUAUCCCAACGAUACCGAUACCUAAAUCUUGCGGUGUGCGAGAGAAACUUUUGUGGACGAUCGGACAGAAGUUCCAUCUUUCCGGUUCCAGCUUCGAACUGUUCCCGAUAGUGAGUGUAAAUCCUACGGAGAAACCAAAAUGAUGCCCAGGAGGAGAAAUGGACGCCAGAAACCCUCACAAAUCUGCUCUGCUUUUGGAUACUGCUAUAGAUUCAACGAGAACGAGUAGACAUGCUCUUUUUCUUCGAACAAUAUCAUCAACAGAAUCAACCUCAGGAACCUUGGGCUCCGUAGAUCAAAAAAAUUUCACCAUUUCUUACCUCAUGAAUUCAUGUGGAUUGUCUUUCAAACCCGCUACUUCAGUGGCACAGAAGAUCCUCAUCGAGACCACAGAGAGACCGGACUCUGUCAUUGAGCUCUUACGAACAAAUGGAUUCACAAAUACCCACCUUGCUAAUCUGAUAACAAAGUACCCACGGAUGCUUUUCGCCGAUCCCGUCAAAACCCUUAAACCCAAGAUUGACUUCUUUCAAUCUCUGGGAUUUUCAAGAGAUGACCUAGCUAAGUUCCUCUCCUCAGACCAUAUCAUCCUAAGAAGAAGCUUGCAAAGGCAAAUAAUCCCAAUCAUAAAUUUCCUCAAAACCAUCAUCCACACCGACGAGAACAUCAUCAGUGCUCUCAAGCGAUCCGACCGAGUCGCUUCUCUUAACGUUAAGAGUAUUUUGGAGCCCAACAUUGCAACUUUGCGAAGUUACGGUGUACCCGAUUCCAAUAUUUCGAGGAUGUUAACCCUCCAACCUAAUUUACUGACGCCGAAUGUUUGGCGGUUUAAAGAUGUUGCUGCAACGGUGAACAGAAUGGGUUUUGAUCCCAUCCGUUGUUCAUUCAUUAUUGCCAUUUACUCUAUGUCGGUGAUGGGCAAACAGAAGUGGGAAAAGAAAAGAAAGGCUUUUCGAAGAUUUGGAUGGUCUGAUGACGAAUUUCUAUUGGCCUUUAAGUUACAGCCGAUGGUCAUGCUCACUUCAGAGAAGAAGCUCGUGAAAUUUAUGGAUUUCUUUGUCAACGACUUGCAUUUGAAGCCAUCAGAUGUUGCGAAAAGCCCGCACAUUUUCUUACAAAGUUUUGAAAGAAGAAUCAUUCCAAGGUGUUCAGUGCUGCAAGUUCUGAUGUCCAAGGGCCUUAUUGAGAAGGAUAUGAAUAUAUUUUCCGCACUAAAUUGUGAUAAACAGCGGUUUGAGAAGAGGUUUGUCACUAGAUAUGAGGGGGUAGCCCCUGAGGUAAUCAUGGCAUACGAAGGUAAGAUGAAAUUUCUAGGAUUUGACAGUUGACACUGGUGUUGAAGAUGGUGGAAGAAUUAAGUAAAUCAAUUGAAGGAGUUCCGAGACAGAAUGUUGGCAAUCGUGGAUUUGUCAAGUGGUUUGGGAUGUUCUGUUGCUGAACAAAGGGAUCGGAUGGAGGUGGCAUAUCAUUUAGUGUCUUAGAGGUGACGGUACCCCAUGGUUCUAGAGCAGAACAUUGUGUUGUUUGAUGCCUGAAAUUGUUACAGAUUUGAUGGAACAUUAUGAUGCUAAGGCUGAUCUGAAAACCAGUAUAUAUCCAGUUUUCAUCGUCAUGAGGGAAAAUGGCAUCUGUGAUCAAUUGAAGUUUCAUCCACCUCCAUUGAUGGUCAAAUGGAUAGCUACUUUCUUAGACGGAUCCCAAAAUGUGCACAUGUUGCCCACAUCACCUCAAGUUUCAGCCAAAUUAAACCUCACCAUAUGUUCAUAAGGUUUGAAAAAAUGGCUGAAAUAAAUGGAGAAAAAGAAAGAUGGAAACAAUUAAGCCUAUGUUGAUCAAUUACUGUAGUUCUCUUCCUCCUCCCCCCCCCCCCCUUCUCUAUCUUGGAAGAAAAAAGAAAAGGAGAGAAAGAAAGCCAGAAAAUCUGAAGUUGGUGCUCCAGAAAAGUUCUUUGAGAAAAGAAAAUAAAACCUUCUUAUUGUUGUUUGGUUGUGUCUUGGAUAUGAAAUUCCAAAUGCUCUCUUUCUCAGCGAAUUACCUUAUCUUAUUCCCUGCCCAGGAAAA